rnacentral:rRNA from 1 species
UACGAAGGGGGCUAGCGUUGCUCGGAAUCACUGGGCGUAAAGCGCACGUAGGCGGCUUUUUAAGUCAGGGGUGAAAUCCUGGAGCUCAACUCCAGAACUGCCUUUGAUACUGAGGAGCUCGAGUCCGGGAGAGGUGAGUGGAACUGCGAGUGUAGAGGUGAAAUUCGUAGAUAUUCGCAAGAACACCAGUGGCGAAGGCGGCUCACUGGCCCGGUACUGACGCUGAGGUGCGAAAGCGUGGGGAGCAAACAGG